rnacentral:rRNA from 1 species
UACGUAGGGACCAAGCGUUGUUCGGAUUUACUGGGCGUAAAGGGCGCGUAGGCGGCUUAACAAGUCACUUGUGAAAUCUCCGGGCUUAACUCGGAACGGCCAAGUGAAACUGUCAAGCUAGAGUGCAGAAGGGGCAAUCGGAAUUCUUGGUGUAGCGGUGAAAUGCGCAGAUAUCAGGAAGAACACCCGUGGCGAAGGCGGCUCUCUGGGACGGUACUGACGCUGAGGCGCGAAAGCGUGGGGAGCAAACAGG